GUGCUUUUUUUAAAUGCAGCUUUUGCACAAUUGGGUUUCCUUCCUCAUGUUUAAACUGCCUUAGAGGACAAGCAGACUCAGUGUGUCCGUCCUUGGUUCCGGGUGCCAGGGCUGGGCGAGGGAGGAGCCAAAGAGACGGCAGAGACGGGGCCAAGCAGAUGCCGGAAGCAAGAAGCAGCAGACGGUCCGUGAAGGUCGGGGGCAAGAAUUACCCACUGAGGCCGAAAGGAAAUGACUGGACUCCAUUAAGCUCCUUGAAGGCCUAGACUGUUCUGUUCAUCGCUAUAAAGCAACUAAGACUCAGAGAAGUUAAGUGACUUGCUAAAGGUUCCACAGGGGAGUUGGGAUUGGCACCCAGGCCUAUCCGACCUCAAAAUCCAAUUUUUCCACCAUCUGCCGUAUUUUUUCUCAGCUCACACCAAAUCCACAGUUGGAGAACUCCCAGCUUCCCUAUCCACCCUGGAAACCAGACUGGCAAUGUCUGCCUGAGACUCCAGCACUGCAGUGGAAGCAGCCACCUGUGCAGUUGCCAGUUUUAACUGUUGACCAAUAUAUACAAACAACUCUGCAAAGUUGGAAUAUCUUGGCCAAAAGCAUGGUUAUCCACUACCACUUCCUAGAUCAGCAAAUUGCUCUCUGGUGGCCCAGAAUUUUUAUUCCACCCAGUCUG